AGGAGCAUUCUUUUGCACAUAAAAUUGAGUUGGAGCCAACACUACUUAAAAAAAAUUGUCGAAUCCUUUAUGAGAAGUCAAGGCUUGGUUGUGUCAUUUGUCGCGAAACAAAGAGUUGUCGAAUCUCUUCCUUUACCUACAGAGAGAUUUUACAGUAUCUCUCUGGAACAAACGUCUGCAUUUGAAUGAUCGAAUAGAUGACUUACCAGCAACGAUCGACUUCUGUUAGUGCAAAUGGGCAGAGGCAGAGGAUUCAGAGUUCAUAUUCUGUAGCAUGUUGAUCAGUCCCCUAGAAGGGUUCUUUUUUUAGAUGUGUUCAUGUAAGGCUUUAUAACCCACUCGAUUUGAGCUUCGUCU
rnacentral:misc_RNA from 1 species